GAAAACAUUUUCUUCCUUCCCUGUUUCUGCAGGUGUAUCCUACUGGUUACUAUUGGGUUAGGUGUGCAACAGUAGCCUACCAUUGUGCUCACUACAAAUAAAACAUAAGGCUCUUGAAUCCUUCUGACACCUGUUACCAGUCUCAUUAGGAGGCAGAGGCCGUGGUUCGAUUUAUUUCUCAGUCAUUCAAAUAGAUACGUGGAGGAAUCGAUUUGACCAGUGUAGGAACUGAGACUCAAUAAUGCUAAUAAAGCGAAAGUAUUGACAUGGGUGCACCGAGCCAAGACAGCACAUGCCUGAAACAUCACACCAGAUUGUUCUGCAUGGAUCAGUCAGAGAAACUCAAAAGUGGGGCCCUUAUGUGUGUGGAGACAGGAGGCCUCAUUGUUCCUGUAACUGGCCUCAUCUGAAGAAGCGUCCCUGUGCUCAAUUAGUCAAGAGUCCAUUCCUUGAAGUCAUAUUCUGUCUGGAACAAGAAAGCACUUUUUCCCAUGGCGAGCCUUUUAACCUAUCUUGGCGACAGCUACACCUCACUGUAUAAAAAUAAAUAAAUAAAGUAAAUAACAACUAACAGC
rnacentral:lncRNA from 1 species